rnacentral:rRNA from 1 species
CCUACGGGGGGCUGCAGUGGGGAAUAUUGGACAAUGGGGGGAACCCUGAUCCAGCCAUGCCGCGUGUGUGAAGAAGGCCUUUUGGUUGUAAAGCACUUUAAGCGAGGAGGAGGCUACCGAGAUUAAUACUCUUGGAUAGUGGACGUUACUCGCAGAAUAAGCACCGGCUAACUCUGUGCCAGCAGCCGCGGUAAUACAGAGGGUGCAAGCGUUAAUCGGAUUUACUGGGCGUAAAGCGCGCGUAGGUGGCCAAUUAAGUCAAAUGUGAAAUCCCCGAGCUUAACUUGGGAAUUGCAUUCGAUACUGGUUGGCUAGAGUAUGGGAGAGGAUGGUAGAAUUCCAGGUGUAGCGGUGAAAUGCGUAGAGAUCUGGAGGAAUACCGAUGGCGAAGGCAGCCAUCUGGCCUAAUACUGACACUGAGGUGCGAAAGCAUGGGGAGCAAACAGGAUUAGAUACCCAAGUAGUC